ACCGAGGAAGGCCCGACGGCACCGAAAACUGCUAAUUUUCGCCACUCUGGUUAAACUCCAGGGCUCCCUC
rnacentral:tRNA from 1 species